rnacentral:rRNA from 1 species
AAGAAGCUACUAAGGGCAUAUGGUGGAUGCCUUGGCGUUAAGUGCCGAUGAAGGACGUAGUACACUGCGAUAAGCUUCGGGGAGUCGUGUGCAGACGUUAUAACCCGUAGAUAUCCGAAUGGGGAAACCCACGCAGGUGAACCUUGCGUAUCUCAUGCUGAACACAUAGGCAUGAGGAAGGGAACCCGGGGAACUGAAACAUCUUAUUACCCGGAGGAACAGAGAUUAUUCCGCUAGUAGUGGCGAGCGAACGCGGAUCAGCCCAAACCGUUUGUGCUUGCAUAAACGGGGUUGUAGGGCCUGGUAACAUGAGAGUUACAAACCAGUUGGUUAGCUGAAUGCUUCUGGAAAGAGCAACCACAGAGGGUGAUAGUCCCGUAAGCGAAAAUCAAUUGGCUCUCACCAGGUACCUGAGUACCACCGGGCACGCUAAUCCGGUGGGAAUCUAGGGAGUCCACUUCCUAAGGCUAAAUACACUUAACGACCGAUAGUGAACAAGUACCGUGAGGGAAAGGUGAAAAGUACCCCGGCGAGGGGAGUGAAAUAGAACCUGAAACCGUAUGCCUACAACCUGUCGAAGGGCGUCUGGCUUGCCUACGGGCGAGCUCGGCCUGACGGCGUGCCUUUUGGAGAAUGAGCCGGCGAGUUAAUCUUUGUGGCGAGCCUAAGGGAGUGACACCCGGAGGCGUAGCGAAAGCGAGUCUUAAUAGGGCGUAUAGUCGCAGGGAUUAGACACGAAACCUGGUGAGCUACCCAUGGCCAGGGUGAAGCGGGAUUAAGUCCCCGUGGAGGCCCGAACCCACCAAUGUUGCAAAAUUGGGGGAUGAGCUGUGGGUAGGGGUGAUAUGCCAAACGAACCAGGAGAUAGCUUGUUCUCCCCGAAAUAGCUUUAGGGCUAGCGUCGCGUGUUUAGUAUCGGAGGUAGAGCACUGGAGUGGCUAGGGGGCAAAUAGCUUACCAAACCACACCAAACUCCGAAUGCCGAUACUUUAGAAUGCGGCAGUUGGGCCACGGGGGAUGAGCUCCGUGGUCGAGAGGGAAACAACCCAGACCAUCGGCUAAGGUCCCUAAGUUAGAGCUAAGUGGAAAACGAUGUGGGACUACUCAGACAGCCAGGAGGUUGGCUUAGAAGCAGCCAUCCUUGAAAGAGUGCGUAACAGCUCACUGGUCAAGUGGUCCUGCGCGGAUAAUGUAACGGGGCUAAGCUCUGCACCGAAGCCAUGGGUUCUGUCACGCUAUAUGCGUGAAUGAGCAGUAGGGGAGCGUUCCGUAUGCGUUGAAGGUUGACCGUGAGGACAGCUGGAGCGUACGGAAGUGAGAAUGCCGGCAUGAGUAGCGUAAAACAUGUGAGAAUCAUGUUCGCCGUAAGUCUAAGGUUUCCGACGGAAGGGUGUUCCACGUCGGGUUAGUCGGUCCUAAGCUGAGGCCGAGAGGCGUAAGCGAUGGAUAUCCGGUUAAUAUUCCGGAACCUCCUGAGAGGAGCGAAGUGGUGACGCAGAACGGUAGGCCAGCCGACCCAUUGGACAUGGUCGGUGCUAAACGUGUAGGUGUUGAGACUCGUAGGAAAAUCCGCGAGUUGAGCUGAGGCGUGAUGGCGUGGCUCUAAGCCUGAAGUGGUUGAGCCGAUCUGCCAAGAAAAUCCUCGUAGUGUUGAAUCUCAGGUGACCGUACCGCAAACCGACACUGGUAGACGAGUAGAGAAUACUAAGGCGAGCGAGAGAACCUUCGUUAAGGAACUAGGCAAAAUGGCCCCGUAACUUCGGGAGAAGGGGCGCCCUUUAACGUGAAAUGCAUACGCAUUAAGCGUAGGAGGGCCGCAGUGAAAUGGCUCUGGUGACUGUUUAACAAAAACACAGGUCCCUGCUAAAGCGUAAGCUGAUGUAUAGGGGCUGACGCCUGCCCAGUGCCGGAAGGUUAAAGUGAGGGGUUAAUCAUCUUCGGAUGGUGAAGCUCUGAGCUGAAGCCCCGGUGAACGGCGGCCGUAACUAUAACGGUCCUAAGGUAGCGAAAUUCCUUGUCGGGUAAGUUCCGACCUGCACGAAAGGCGUAACAACUGGAGCGCUGUCUCAACGAAGGACUCGGCGAAAUUGAAGUAUGCGUAAAGAUGCGUAUUACCCGCAGCAGGACAAAAAGACCCCGGCAGCUUUACUAUAGCUUGGCAUUGAGUUUGGGCUUAAUCUGUCCAGAAUAGGUGGGAGGCUGUGAAACUGGAGCGCUAGCUUCGGUGGAGCCAAUCUUGGGAUACCACCCUGAUUAAGUUUAGACCCUAACCUCAGACCGUAAUCCGGCUGGGGGACCGUGCCAGGUGGGUAGUUUGACUGGGGCGGUCGCCUCCAAAAAGGUAACGGAGGCGCCCAAAGGUUCCCUCAGGCUGAAUGGAAACCAGCCGUAGAGUGCAAAGGCAUAAGGGAGCUUGACUGCAAGACCUACAAGUCGCGCAGAGACGAAAGUCGGGCUUAGUGAUCCCACGGUUCCGAGUGGAAGGGCCGUGGCUCAACGGAUAAAAGCUACGCCGGGGAUAACAGGCUAGUCUUGCCCAAGAGUUCACAUCGACGGCAAGGCUCGGCACCUCGAUGUCGGCUCAUCGCAUCCUGGGGCUGGAUAAGGUCCCAAGGGUUGGGCUGUUCGCCCAUUAAAGCGGUACGUGAGCUGGGUUCAGACCGUCGUGAGACAGGUCGGUCUCUAUCCGCUGUGGGCGCAGGGAAUUUGAAGGGAGCUGCUCCUAGUACGAGAGGACCGGAGUGGACAGACCUCUGGUGUGUCAGUUGUCGUGCCAACGGCAUCGCUGAGUAGCUACGUCUGGCAAGGAUAACCGCUGAAAGCAUCUAAGUGGGAAACCUGCCCUAAGAUUAGAUUCCCCAAACCUUGUGUUUGUAAGACCGCAGGAAGACUACCUGCUUGAUAGGCGACCAGGUGUAAGCACAGUAAUGUGUGAGCCUAGGCGUACUAAUGGUCGAGAGGCUUCACCAA